CAGCCGGCCCCGCCCAGGAGGACCUGGGGUUAUCUGUACCCCGAGGCAGAGUACCCGAAAGUUUACUUUUGUAUCAUUUAUUAUUGUGUUGUUUGUAUUACAACGGCAGACCUACUUUCGCCAACCCCUGUGCUAGCUUCGAACACCGUGUCUUCCCUUCAUGAGCGCCCCAGGUUCCAACCACCUCUCUGGGCAGCCCACCCCGAUUUCGGGGACACGCACAGGAGAGCCUGGGGCCCUGCAUAGAGUAGGUGCUCUCCACAUACUUGCUCUAGCUGAUGGGGAUCUCCGAGCACCCUUCCUGCAACCGCAAUGGGUGGCACAGGACAUAGAACUUGGAAAAUGGAAGUGCUAAAGUCUGCCAGCAUUUUUGGAAGGAUCCCUGGAUCUACCAGCAUUCUACCCAAGAGAUCUGGAGGACUUCACAGGGAGAGGCCUGCCCCUUCGGUCAGUCAUUCUCAGUGGGCUCACGAGGGAGACAAGCAACCAUGG